UAUGUAGGGUGCAAGCGUUGUCCGGAAUUAUUGGGCGUAAAGAGCUCGUAGGCGGUUUGUCGCGUCUGCUGUGAAAACCCGAGGCUCAACCUCGGGCCUGCAGUGGGUACGGGCAGACUAGAGUGCGGUAGGGGAGAUUGGAAUUCCUGGUGUAGCGGUGGAAUGCGCAGAUAUCAGGAGGAACACCAAUGGCGAAGGCAGAUCUCUGGGCCGUAACUGACGCUGAGGAGCGAAAGCAUGGGGAGCGAACAGG
rnacentral:rRNA from 1 species